UGGGGAAUAUUGCACAAUGGGGGAAACCCUGAUGCAGCGACGCCGCGUGAGUGAAGAAGUAAUUCGUUAUGUAAAGCUCUAUCAGCAGGGAAGAAAAUGACGGUACCUGACUAAGAAGCUCCGGCUAACUACGUGCCAGCAGCCGCGGUAAUACGUAGGGAGCGAGCGUUAUCCGGAUUUACUGGGUGUAAAGGGCGAGUAGGCGGGCUGGUAAGUUGGAAGUGAAAUGUCGGGGCUUAACCCCGGAACUGCUUUCAAAAACUGCUGGUCUUGAGUGAUGGAGAGGCAGGCGGAAUUCCUAGUGUAGCGGUGAAAUGCGUAGAUAUUAGGAGGAACACCAGUGGCGAAGGCGGCCUGCUGGACAUUAACUGACGCUGAGGAGCGAAAGCGUGGGGAGCAAACAGGAUUAGAUACCCUGGUAGU
rnacentral:rRNA from 1 species